rnacentral:rRNA from 1 species
UACGUAGGGUGCAAGCGUUGUCCGGAAUUAUUGGGCGUAAAGAGCUCGUAGGCGGUUUGUCGCGUCGGCUGUGAAAACCUGGGGCUCAACCCCGGGCCUGCAGCCGAUACGGGCAAGCUAGAGUUCGGUAGGGGAGACUGGAAUUCCUGGUGUAGCGGUGAAAUGCGCAGAUAUCAGGAGGAACACCGGUGGCGAAGGCAGCUCGCUGGGACGGUACUGACGCUGAGACGCGAAAGCGUGGGGAGCAAACAGG